UGGAUUCUGCACUAUCAGCAAUAAUCAUUUGCAGAAGUUUGUUUUAACAUGUUUGGAAUGCCAGAUGGGUGGGGUUUCAGGACAUCAGGAGAACACAGAUAGUGUCAGUGGAAUCAUUGGACAUUCUGGUCAAAGGUGCGCUCACCUUUGCUCAUGCAGUGAAACGCCGGAGGAGAGGGAAACGUGCCGGUGCACUUCGCACACCGUUACCGGGAAUAUUUCUCUCCAGCAUGCGUUCACUGUGCAAUAAACUGGAUAAACUUCAGCUACUGAUGAGGAAAAACGUAAGAUGUAGCUGUGUGGAUCGAUACCGGACUCUCGACACAGAACUUUCCAGCAAAACAAAAGGUAGAGGUAUCUGUUUUUACAUCAGCAGUGGCUGGUGUAACGAUGUGACAGUGACUCAACAGCUCUGUUCUUCUGAUAUGGAAUAUACCCCAGAAGCACCCCCCUCCCCUACUGCAACAAUGACUCUCUCCACCCUGGAGAGGGAUGUCAACAGACUGUUCAGUCUAGGAAGGAUACUACCAUUGUUGGCGCCAAAGAUAGACUUUUUUGGAAGCUACAUAUAGUGGCUUUAAAAAGUGACUAUUUAGAAUAUGUUGAUGUUUGAAUGCAUGUAAGAGCUAUAACAGACAUAUGAACAUGUUAUUGUUGAUCCAUGAAUUCACUUACAGUUGCAUAUUCCUUUUCAUCACUGCGCUGAAAACAUCUGUCCUUCAGUCAGUCAACAGUGCAAGAUGCUCUGUGCUCAACAAUAUCCAGACGUGCAGAAAACCCAACCCUGCCCUCUCUGAACAAGAUACUCAGUAAGAGUAAAAAAUAAAUACUGUGUGAUUUAUCAAAUGGUGAACAAAGGCAGCGGAGGAUUAGCUAGAAAUGUAAUGAAAAAUUUAAAAAAAAACCUUGAGCAAUGUUCAGUGUGAAGUACAGGUGCCAAAGAUGUCUAGGCGCACUCAAACGUUUUCAACUCUCCUCACCAUCCCAUUCGGGUGGAGGAGACCUCGACCUGAACAGAAACAUGAGGGCGCAGAGAGGGAAAGAAAACAAGACAGGCACAGAUUGAGAGCAAGAGCGGAAGUUUGUCAGCUGCUACAUACAUCCCCAGACAACAGGCAGCAGUGUAAACAGAGGAAGCAAACAGGGGGAAUAUAAGCAUACUUCAUCUGUUCAGUACACUGUAUGUAAUCAAAUGAUAUGGUAAUUACCACCACCAAAAAGUCAGAAACGGAAGAGUCAUAAAAAGACAUGAAAAUAGAGAAUAACUGAACUCCCAUCCUCGGCCUCCAUGCCCUUACAUACAGAGGCUGCCGGUCAUUGGGAGGGAACUCUCCACCUCGACACAAAGAACACAAGCCCAGAGAGGAACACCACCUCCCCUCUUCUCCACACAUUCGAAGAGGCCAACCUAAACAUGCCACUGCAAACAACUGCCUAUUUACACAUCCAGCAGACACAGAGCAACAUUAGCAUUCAUAUGUGGCUUUUUUUUUUAUGUAUUUGUUAUUAACUUUUAUGUGCGUUUAUUUGGUAUUUUUUCUGUUCAGCACUUUGGUCAACGGUGGUUGUCUUAAAUGUGCUAUAUAAAUCAAUUUGACAUUGACAUUGAUAUUAACAUGUCUCUGGCAAUCUGACAAAACCAAGUUCACUCUUCACUCUGUUUUGGUCUCCACCAACUCUUGAGGAGCUCUUAGCUGCUAAAUGCCCCACUGUGUUACUACUAGCUAGACGCUAAUUAAUUUGCUGUGGGUUCGUCACUAUGAGCGACCCCUACCAUAUUACACUUUUGAUCCAUUGUUAACAUUAAAAUAUUGAUUGGUGCUUCAGGUAUCUCUUAAGGAAGUUUUAUCCCCACCAAAUAGACGUUUAAACUCCCAUUUGUCUGUUUGUGAGCGAGGUAUCUCGAUAACUUGUUAACAGAAAUUUGGUGCAAAGAAAUUUGGUGUGAACUUCUUUAAAGGAUUUCUAACAUUGCAUAUUUUUAAACAUUUUUCCAAUUUAGUCAUGAACUACUGCACAUAACAUGGCAUACGUAUCCUACUAUUGUCUUUUUUUAUGCAGAUCCAGAUCUAAAAAAAAAAAAAAAAUCGAAAUAUUUUGUACCAUUAAAUUAACAAAUCAUGCAGCCUUGUCAGGUAUAUGCUCUCUAGUUGCUUUUUAGUAAUAAAAAAGCUAAUGUUUAUUUUGGCAACCAGUUUGGUUUUACAAGCCCCUGUAUCUUGCUUUGAGAUUAACUAGCCUGCAGCAUUGUAUUCAGCAGGGAUGGUUUUCAAAACUGUUUCAACUGUCAUCUCUUUCUCUAGAAUAUUUUUUAGGUUUUCUAUUCACAUCUUCCUAUGAACGUCCUUUUCUUGGGCCCGCUAUCUUACAUUAAUUCUCAAGUUUCCUCUGACAAGUCUUCACACUUCUCUAUCCUUCUGUCUGUCUGUCUCUCUGAUUCCCUGAAUGUGUCCCAGUCAACUCACAGUCACACUGGUAAGUUUUCUGAGCCAGGGAAAUGUCCCACAAAUGGGUAAACUGUGCUCAUUCAUCCUAAAUUUAGCCCACUCUCCUGAUCCCUUCGCCAUGGCUGUGGGAAACACUGCAUACUUUCCCCCCUCUGCUCCCAGUCCAGUGAGGACCUGGCCUGGGCCAUCCUGUCAAGUGCCUGAUUGUUACUCACAAGAACAGGUCCUGUGUUUGGCAUGUAGGUGUCCUUCCUCUGCCUCUCAUCAGGGGCUAAAAACUAUGUUUCCUGCUCUUCUCUCGCUCGCACACACACCCAUAAAUUAAAUAAAACAGCUCUUUAUCCUCGACCUGAAACAAUGGGCUCCCUCAUUCAGUUGAGUUACAGUACGUUUACAGAACACCUCAAGGGCAAAUAGGCUGAGCUAGUGGCCUGGCUAUUCAGCAAUUUAUCCUCGAGGAUGGCAUACCGAUAAUGCCUUGUGGUCUAGACAUAUGUUUCCAUCAAACAGCCCACUUAGAGGUUAGAGAUUCCCAAUUCAGUGACCUUCUUUUCAAGUGCUUUGACCAAAGCUUCUGUAUAAUUUUCUGCACUGAACAUAACAUGU